rnacentral:rRNA from 1 species
GGGGGGAGCAAGCGUUGUUCGGAUUUACUGGGCGUAAAGGGCGCGUAGGCGGCGCAACAAGUCACUUGUGAAAUCUCCGGGCUUAACCCGGAGCGGCCAAGUGAUACUGUCGUGCUAGAGUGCGGAAGGGGCUACUGGAAUUCUCGGUGUAGCGGUGAAAUGCGUAGAUAUCGAGAGGAACACCUGCGGCGAAGGCGGGUAGCUGGGCCGACACUGACGCUGAUGCGCGAAAGCCAGGGGAGCGAACGGGAUUAGAUACCCCGGUAGUCCUGGCCUUAAACGAUGGAUACUUGGUGUCCGGGGUUACAUAGUCCCCGGGUGCCGGCGCUAACGCAUUAAGUAUCCCGCCUGGGGAGUACGGUCGCAAGACUG